AUUGAACGCUGGCGGCAUGCCUUACACAUGCAAGUCGAACGGUAACGCGGGGCAACCUGGCGACGAGUGGCGAACGGGUGAGUAAUGUAUCGGAACGUGCCCAGUUGUGGGGGAUAACUGCUCGAAAGAGCAGCUAAUACCGCAUACGACCUGAGGGUGAAAGCGGGGGAUCGCAAGACCUCGCGCAAUUGGAGCGGCCGAUAUCAGAUUAGGUAGGUGGUGGGGUAAAGGCCCACCAAGCCAACGAUCUGUAGCUGGUCUGAGAGGACCACCAGCCACACUGGGACUGAGACACGGCCCAGACGCCUACGGGAGGCAGCAGUGGGGAAUUUUGGACAAUGGACGCAAGUCUGAUCCAGCCAUGCCGCGUGCGGGAAGAAGGCCUUCGGGUUGUAAACCGCUUUUGUCAGGGAAGAAACGCUCUGGGUUAAUACCUCGGGGUAAUGACGGUACCUGAAGAAUAGGCACCGGCUAACUACGUGCCAGCAGCCGCCGUAACAC
rnacentral:rRNA from 1 species